rnacentral:hammerhead_ribozyme from 1 species
AUCCAGCUGACAAGUCUCAAAUAGGACGAAACGCAAGUCCUGGAU